GAUGAACGCUGGCGGCGUGCCUAAUACAUGCAAGUCGAGCGAACAGACGAGGAGCUUGUUCCUCUGAUGUUAGCGGCGGACGGGUGAGUAACACGUGGAUAACCUACCUAUAAGACUGGGAUAACUUCGGGAAACCGGAGCUAAUACCGGAUAACAUGUUAAACCGCAUGGUUCAACAGUGAAAGACGGUCUUGCUGUCACUUAUAGAUGGAUCCGCGCCGCAUUAGCUAGUUGGUAAGGUAACGGCUUACCAAGGCAACGAUGCGUAGCCGACCUGAGAGGGUGAUCGGCCACACUGGAACUGAGACACGGUCCAGACUCCUACGGGAGGCAGCAGUAGGGAAUCUUCCGCAAUGGGCGAAAGCCUGACGGAGCAACGCCGCGUGAGUGAAGAAGGUCUUCGGAUCGUAAAACUCUGUUAUUAGGGAAGAACAAAUGUGUAAGUAACUAUGCACGUCUUGACGGUACCUAAUCAGAAAGCCACGGCUAACUACGUG
rnacentral:rRNA from 1 species